GACGAACGCUGGCGGCGUGCUUAGCACAUGCAAGUCGAACGGAAAGGCCCUGCUUUUGUGGGGUGCUCGAGUGGCGAACGGGUGAGUAACACGUGAGUAACCUGCCCUUGACUUUGGGAUAACUUCAGGAAACUGGGGCUAAUACCGGAUAGGAGCUCCUGCUGCAUGGUGGGGUUGGAAAGUUCGGCGGUUGGGAUGGACUCGCGGCUUAUCAGCUUGUUGGUGGGGUAGUGGCUUACCAAGGCUU
rnacentral:rRNA from 1 species